AGCAGUCGCCGCGGGAAUACGUAGGUGGCAAGCGUUGUCCGGAAUUAUUGGGCGUAAAGGGCUCGCAGGCGGUUUCUUAAGUCUGAUGUGAAAGCCCCCGGCUCAACCGGGGAGGGUCAUUGGAAACUGGAAACUUGAGUGCAGAAGAGGAGAGUGGAAUUCCACGUGUAGCGGUGAAAUGCGUAGAGAUGUGGAGGAACACCAGUGGCGAAGGCGACUCUCUGGUCUGUAACUGACGCUGAGGAGCGAAAGCGUGGGGAGCGAACAGGAUUAGAUACCCCUGUAGUCCCUGUCUCUUAUACC
rnacentral:rRNA from 1 species